rnacentral:lncRNA from 1 species
ACGCUCUGGAGUUGGGGGUGGGGGAUCUAACUACCCAAACCUCCCCAGGAAGGCCGCAUCCAGGCGCAGGGAUGACCCAGCACUUACUAUCUACUCACACCCACAUUGUGGUGGUGGACAAGUGGGAUCUGGGGCUUGGGGGUGAUGGACUGUGCCCUGGGGUUCAUGGCAGCACCUGGAGAAUGGGCUUCCCCAAAGCACCAGGCCAUGCACCUCAAAGCUGGACAUGAGUUGACCAAGGUUUCCCUUUGCCCACAAAGAGGGAUGCAGUAACAUGUCAGAUGGUGGUUUGCAUCCCUUUUUUUUGAGAUGGAGUCUCGCGCCCGGAGGUGUCCUCGCGCCGCGCUGCUCCUGCCGCCUCGGGGGUGAGAGAGGGCGCGCCACCCGGACCCCCGGCCUGGGUCCCCCAGCUCCCCAGGCUUGAGUGCCAGGUCCCCCAUCCCAGACAAAUGGUUAUUCACACCUGGCCACAGCAGCCAGACACCAAACGACAGCCCUGGUAACAGGGUCCGCAGGAGGGUGGUUGGCUGGGCAGGACAUCAGGCCCAGCCCUGCCCCUGAGGAGCUCCC